GUGCCAGCAGCCGCGGUAAUACGUAGGUGGCAAGCGUUGUCCGGAAUUAUUGGGCGUAAAGGGCGCGUAGGCGGUCCCUUAAGUCAGAUGUGAAAUCCCGAGGCUUAACCUCGGGCGUGCAUUUGAAACUGGGGGACUAGAGUGCAGGAGAGGUAAGUGGAAUUCCUAGUGUAGCGGUGAAAUGCGUAGAUAUUAGGAGGAACACCAGUGGCGAAGGCGACUUACUGGACUGUAACUGACGCUGAGGCGCGAAAGCGUGGGGAGCAAACAGGAUUAGAAACCCGUGUAGUCC
rnacentral:rRNA from 1 species